GAUGAGCCUACGUUAGAUUAGCUAGUUGGUGAGGUAAUGGCUUACCAAGGCUAUGAUCUAUAGCUGGUCUGAGAGGACGAUCAGCCACACUGGAGCUGAGAUACGGUCCAGACUCCUACGGGAGGCAGCAGUGGGGAAUAUUGGACAAUGGGCGAAAGCCUGAUCCAGCUAUGCCGCGUGAGUGAAGAAGGCCUUCGGGUUGUAAAACUCUUUCAAUAGGGAAGAUAAUGACGGUACCUAUAGAAGAAGUCCCGGCAAACUCUGUGCCAGCAGCCGCGG
rnacentral:rRNA from 1 species